AUUGAACGCUGGCGGCAUGCCUUACACAUGCAAGUCGAACGGUAACGGGCCUUCGGGUGCCGACGAGUGGCGAACGGGUGAGUAAUGUAUCGGAACGUACCUUUCAGUGGGGGAUAACGUAGCGAAAGUUACGCUAAUACCGCAUAUUCUGUGCGCAGGAAAGCAGGGGAUCGCAAGACCUUGCGCUGAUUGAGCGGCCGAUAUCAGAUUAGCUAGUUGGUGAGGUAAAGGCUCACCAAGGCGACGAUCUGUAGCGGGUCUGAGAGGAUGAUCCGCCACACUGGAACUGAGACACGGUCCAGACUCCUACGGGAGGCAGCAGUGGGGAAUUUUGGACAAUGGGGGCAACCCUGAUCCAGCCAUGCCGCGUGAGUGAAGAAGGCCUUCGGGUUGUAAAGCUCUUUCGGCCGGGAAGAAAUCGUAUCAGCUAAUACCUGGUGCGGAUGACGGUACCGGCAUAAGAAGCACCGGCUAACUACGUGCCAGCCGCCGCAGUAAAAC
rnacentral:rRNA from 1 species